UCUUUUGGGAGCUUGCUCCCAAAAGAUUAGCGGCGGACGGGUGAGUAACACGUGGGCAACCUGCCUAUAAGACUGGGAUAACUUCGGGAAACCGGAGCUAAUACCGGAUACGUUCUUUUCUCGCAUGAGAGAAGAUGGAAAGACGGCUUCUAGCUGUCACUUAUAGAUGGGCCCGCGGCGCAUUAGCUAGUUGGUGGGGUAAUGGCUCACCAAGGCGACGAUGCGUAGCCGACCUGAGAGGGUGAUCGGCCACACUGGGACUGAGACACGGCCCAGACUCCUACGGGAGGCAGCAGUAGGGAAUCUUCCGCAAUGGACGAAAGUCUGACGGAGCAACGCCGCGUGAACGAAGAAGGCCUUCGGGUCGUAAAGUUCUGUUGUUAGGGAAGAACAAGUACCAGAGUAACUGCUGGUACCUUGACGGUACCUAACCAGAAAGCCACGGCUAACUACGUGCCAGCAGCCGCGGUAAUACGUAGGUGGCAAGCGUUGUCCGGAAUUAUUGGGCGUAAAGCGCGCGCAGGUGGUUCCUUAAGUCUGAUGUGAAAGCCCACGGCUCAACCGUGGAGGGUCAUUGGAAACUGGGGAACUUGAGUGCAGAAGAGGAAAGUGGAAUUCCAAGUGUAGCGGUGAAAUGCGUAGAGAUUUGGAGGAACACCAGUGGCGAAGGCGACUUUCUGGUCUGUAACUGACACUGAGGCGCG
rnacentral:rRNA from 1 species